ACGCUGGCGGUAGGCCUAACACAUGCAAGUCGAACGGCAGCACAGUAAGAGCUUGCUCUUACGGGUGGCGAGUGGCGGACGGGUGAGGAAUACAUCGGAAUCUACCUUUUCGUGGGGGAUAACGUAGGGAAACUUACGCUAAUACCGCAUACGACCUUCGGGUGAAAGCAGGGGACCUUCGGGCCUUGCGCGGAUAGAUGAGCCGAUGUCGGAUUAGCUAGUUGGCGGGGUAAAGGCCCACCAAGGCGACGAUCCGUAGCUGGUCUGAGAGGAUGAUCAGCCACACUGGAACUGAGACACGGUCCAGACUCCUACGGGAGGCAGCAGUGGGGAAUAUUGGACAAUGGGCGCAAGCCUGAUCCAGCCAUACCGCGUGGGUGAAGAAGGCCUUCGGGUUGUAAAGCCCUUUUGUUGGGAAAGAAAAGCAAUCGAUUAAUACUCGGUUGUUCCGACGGUACCCAAAGAAUAAGCACCGGCUAACUUCGUGCCAGCAGCCGCGGUAAUACGAAGGGUGCAAGCGUUACUCGGAAUUACUGGGCGUAAAGCGUGCGUAGGUGGUUGUUUAAGUCUGUUGUGAAAGCCCUGGGCUCAACCUGGGAAUUGCAGUGGAUACUGGGCAACUAGAGUGUGGUAGAGGGUAGUGGAAUUCCCGGUGUAGCAGUGAAAUGCGUAGAGAUCGGGAGGAACAUCCAUGGCGAAGGCAGCUACCUGGACCAACACUGACACUGACGCACGAAAGCGUGGGGAGCAAAC
rnacentral:rRNA from 1 species